rnacentral:rRNA from 1 species
GACGUAGGAUGCAAGCGUUGUCCGGAAUUAUUGGGCGUAAAGAGUUCGUAGGCGGUUCGGUAAGUCGGGUGUGAAAGCCCUCGGCUUAACCGAGGAAGUGCGCCCGAAACUGCAGAGCUUGAGUACCGGAGAGGAUGGCGGAAUUCCCCAAGUAGAGGUGAAAUUCGUAGAUAUGGGGAGGAACACCGGUGGCGAAGGCGGCCAUCUGGACGGAUACUGACGCUGAGGCGCGAAAGCGUGGGGAGCAAACAGG